AACGAACGCUGGCGGCAUGCCUAACACAUGCAAGUCGAACGAGACCUUCGGGUCUAGUGGCGCACGGGUGCGUAACGCGUGGGAACCUGCCCUUAGGUUCGGAAUAACUCCCCGAAAGGGGUGCUAAUACCGGAUAAUGUCUUCGGACCAAAGAUUUAUCGCCUUUGGAUGGGCCCGCGUUGGAUUAGCUAGUUGGUAGGGUAAAAGCCUACCAAGGCGACGAUCCAUAGCUGGUCUGAGAGGAUGAUCAGCCACACUGGGACUGAGACACGGCCCAGACUCCUACGGGAGGCAGCAGUGGGGAAUAUUGGACAAUGGGCGAAAGCAUGAUCCAGCAAUGCCGGGUGAGUGAUGAAGGCCUUAGGGUUGUAAAGCUCUUUUACCCGGGAUGAUAAUGACAGUACCGGGAGAAUAAGCUCCGGCUAACUCCGUG
rnacentral:rRNA from 1 species